CCUACGGGAGGCAGCAGUGAGGAAUAUUGGUCAAUGGACGAGAGUCUGAACCAGCCAAGUAGUGUGAAGGAUGACUGCCCUAUGGGUUGUAAACUUCUUUUAUAUGGGAAUAAAACGUUCCACGUGUGGGAUUUUGUAUGUACCAUAUGAAUAAGGAUCGGCUAACUCCGUGCCAGCAGCCGCGGUAAUACGGAGGAUCCGAGCGUUAUCCGGAUUUAUUGGGGUUAAAGGGAGCGUAGGUGGAUUGUUAAGUCAGUUGUGAAAGUUUGCGGCUCAACCGUAAAAUUGCAGUGGAAACUGGCAGUCUUGAGUACAGUAGAGGUGGGCGGAAUUCGUGGUGUAGCGGUGAAAUGCUUAGAUAUCACGAAGAACUCCGAUUGCGAAGGCAGUUCACUGGACUGCAACUGACACUGAGGCUCGAAAGUGUGGGUAUCAAACAGGAUUAGAUACCCUAGUAGUC
rnacentral:rRNA from 1 species